rnacentral:rRNA from 1 species
UCCAGACUCCUACGGGAGGCAGCAGUGGGGAAUAUUGCACAAUGGGGGAAACCCUGAUGCAGCGACGCCGCGUGAGUGAAGAAGUAUUUCGGUAUGUAAAGCUCUAUCAGCAGGGAAGAAAAUGACGGUACCUGACCAAGAAGCCCCGGCUAACUACGUGCCAGCAGCCGCGGUAAUACGUAGGGGGCAAGCGUUAUCCGGAUUUACUGGGUGUAAAGGGAGCGUAGACGGCUGAGCAAGUCAGAAGUGAAAGCCCGGGGCUCAACCCCGGGACUGCUUUUGAAACUGCGGAGCUGGAGUGCAGGAGAGGUAAGCGGAAUUCCUGGUGUAGCGGUGAAAUGCGUAGAUAUCAGGAGGAACACCAGUGGCGAAGGCGGCUUACUGGACUGUAACUGACGUUGAGGCUCGAAAGCGUGGGGAGCAAACAGGAUUAGAUACCCCAGUAA